GCCUCGGUGGUGUAGUGGUAACGCGCGCCCCCAAUAUGGGUGAAGCGCUGGUUCAACUCCACCUAUGAUUUGAAGUU